ACCUAGCCCUGAUAGUAGCGGCAUCCUAUUGUGGCGGGGUUCGCCACAAUAGAUAUAGCGGAUAGCAGGAUUAGCU
rfam:Flavobacterium sp. LM5 Flavobacterium_sp_LM5_contig3, whole genome shotgun sequence.